rnacentral:lncRNA from 1 species
AGAUUGUCGCCGGAGCGUCCGAAGCAUACGCCCACCGAGCCGGCAUUGCUGCUGCCGUCGACAUAGGUGGAGGUGGACGUGGAUGACGAGGACGAUGACGACGAUGAUGAAGGAGGGAUGGAGGAGGACGUUGCUUGGUUGCCGGCUCCGGUAAUGUUCUGAGACACGUUGAUGGUGGAGGAGGAAGACGAGUAGGAGGAUGCAGGCGGCAAUGACGAGGAGGACGGCGGCGGCAAUGUCGAGGAGGAGGAGUACGGGGGCGGCAAUGAUGAGGAAGAGGAGUACGGCGGCGGCAAAGACGAGGAGGAUGAUUGGUUGCCAGCUGUGGUAAUGUUCUGAGACGUGCUGAUGUCGGACGAGGGUGACGACGAGGAUGGCGGCAACGGAGAGGACGAGGAGGUGGUCGGAUUGCCAGUUCCAGUAUUGUCGUAGGAGUUUGAUGAGGAUGAUGAGGGGGGAGUCAAGGGCGUGGAGGGGGUUUGGUUGUCGGCUCCGGUAGUAUUGCUAGAUAGGGAACCAUAGGUCGAGGACGAGGAUGACGAGGAGUUUUGAUCGCCAGCACCGGUAUUACUUUGGGACAUGGUGACAUUGGAUG